GAGAGAAGAAGAACCCUAAUCCGAAUCUCAAAGACCUGAGUGGUAACAAUGAGGAUCGAGACGACGAUGAAGGCGAUGAUAUCCACGAUGCCAACGGCGUAGGCGGGGCGAAGAUCGUGAUCAAGACGUGCGCCUUCAUACUGAACGGCCCCGGAUUCAGUGAGAACUCCCUGUCUCCGAAACCCGGGAUCUUGAAUAUGGUGGUUGGAAGCGGCGAGGCGAGGAAUCGACCGACGGGGAGAGACGCCAACUGAACGGUGAUCUGGGUGAUGAUCAGAGGGUUGGUGCGGUAAGCGAAGAACUAGUUGAGAAACGAUAGGAGAGAAAGCAAGGCGCCGGCGACGCUAGACGCAGCGAGCUGCUGCUGCUUAGAAGAAGAUGAACCCUAGAAACAUUCUGUGUUAGCAAUAGCAUCAGAUUUCAAGGCUGUUUGGGUUUGAAUUUCUAUUGAAAUUGUACUUAGCAGGAGCAUCAGGUGGAUCAAAGGUAAAAUAUGCAACCACGGAACAGUAUCAAGAUACUCUCUUUGGUUUUUAAUGAGAUUUUCGAAUAAAAUGUGUUUGUAUGAGUGUCUCAUAAUAUAUUAGAAAUUGAAUACGUUUAUCUAUCUAUAUAUGUGUGUAUGUUACCCUGUCUGUAUCACACUAGUUAAAGUACAAGUAAAAGUGUCUGUUGAACAAACUAGUACUGCUGCAAACAUAUAUGUUAUUGAUUCAAUGUUAUUAGGAGCUAUGUAAUUAUGAUAAUUAAUUU